rnacentral:rRNA from 1 species
GUAGGGACCAAGCGUUGUUCGGAUUUACUGGGCGUAAAGGGCGCGUAGGCGGCGCGGUAAGUCACUUGUGAAAUCUCUGAGCUUAACUCAGAACGGCCAAGUGAUACUGCAGUGCUAGAGUGUGGAAGGGGCAAUCGGAAUUCUUGGUGUAGCGGUGAAAUGCGUAGAUAUCAAGAGGAACACCUGAGGUGAAGACGGGUUGCUGGGCCAACACUGACGCUGAUGCGCGAAAGCCAGGGGAGCAAACGGGAUUAGAUACCCCGGUAGUCCUGGCCCUAAACGAUGAAUACUUGGUGUCUGGAGUUUUAAUGCUCCGGGUGCCGUCGCUAACGUUUUUAGUAUUCCGCCUGGGGAGUACGCUCGCAAGAGUGAA